GGCAUCAUAUUUUGUCUAGUUAUUUAAACAUUUUGUAGGCAAAAAGAAUCAUAUUUUGUAGAACACCGCCUUUUAUUUCUAAUUUAGUUCGUGCCUUUUCUUCCGGAGUGUGUCUGAAGUUGAGUUAGUCUUUGUAAUAAUCACAUCGUUCACAUUUAAAGAUAACUUACCUGAUUGUAACAAAAAAUUUUGAGUACAUUAUAUUUCACUCACUGUUAAGUAAAAUAUUAGUAUGAUGUCGAUGAUUAUUAGUGGUCGGUAUUAUGGUCUUGAACAAGGAAAAUAAUUAGUUUUCAACAAAUAAUUAUUCCUCAUUGUUUGGUUGUAUCAAAGUCUCUUAUAUGGGGCAGAGUAAAUCAGACUAUAAUGGCUGUGUAUAGUGUAACUGAGGUUUGGUAUACAUGGAAUUCCUUGUGAUUAGGGCUUUUGUUCUGGGGACUUUGUUAAUAAAGUUAUCCAAUGAUUACAUGUCCUCUGAAUGGUAACUGGGAUAAUGCUGUUGCAUAGGGGUGUAAUUUAGCCGAGUUUGAUCGAGCUUGGGUAUGAUUAUAGUUUCGUUUAAACUCAAUUUUGAGUUUGAAAACUCAGGUCAAGCAUGAUUUCCGAGCUCAAUUGAAGCUUAAUUUUGCACUUUGCUGAGCAUAAGUCUAAUUGGUUGGCUUGAAAUCCCAAAUUGAGCUAUAAAUCAAUUCAAGCUUGAACCAUGCUCGGUUCAAUCUUGAUUUCUAGCUUGGAUCAAGUUUGAUUCAUGGAUUGGUUCGCAUCUGAUUUGGCAUUUGGUGCAUUAAGAGUUUUAGAAACAUAAUACUGAAGAUGCUAUUGAAUGUGCUAUCAUUCGUUGGAUCAUAAAAUAUUAACAAAACCAUCUCACAAAGUUAUAAUUAGGCAAGCUGUGGUUACAGUACCAUCUAUAUCAGUCACAUGAGAAAAAUCAGUAUCUUCAUUGUACAAGAAAUUUGUGAAAAAUUAUCAGCCAAAGAGGAAAAAGAAAAGGAUCGUUGGAAGGCCUCGGCUUUCCUCUCUUUUCUUUCACCUUUUCCUUGCCUUCUUUUGGUUUAUUUAGUCCAUGCUGUGAUGGGGUUAGAUUCUUAUUGCUUAAUAUAUUGCUGCAUUGGGCCUUCAGAACCGUGCUUUCCAGCGACCUGGGGUCGAGGAUCUCGGGAGGCACGUCAGGCUCUGCGGCUGGGUAGUCCUCCGCAGGGUUCAUGGUGGGCUGGUGGCCUUACCUUCCUUAACCCUAGGGAUCCCUUUGGGAUUGUUCAGGGAAUGUUGCUGAUGGAUAACUCUGGUUGAUGAGUAUUUGAUCUCCAUCGAGGGUAUUGUUCGUGCUUGGCCAAAGGAAUCUAUAAACAAGAAGAUGAACAUUGGGUCUAUAGAGGUAUGACGGAGACUCCUAUUGCUUAAUAUAUUGAUGUAUUGCUUGAGAACCUGUCUGCUUAAAUAUGAAGGUUCGUUUUUCUUUUUAACUAAUUUCAAUGACCUCAUAUUGUGAAAGAAAAGAAGGCAAGUUGAAGAUGGUGCAAAUCAUUACCAUUGCUCUGUUCUGCUGUUAUAUACCUUGGCGUUUCUUGAUUGCUUGUUCCAAUAGGCCCUCCCACCCCUCUUUCACUGCACCAAAUCCUGAAGAUAUGGAUGAUCUCUCUUCAGCUCGUGCUUUGGCUUAUGGCGUGGUGUAUAACGGAAUUGAGGUAACAUAUUUUAUUCUUCUGUUAUUUAUGUUGUUUUCCCCAUUCAUCAUAACUGGCAUCUGGUCUAUAAAGCCCCAUAUUUUAUUUUUGGUAUUUA